ACCAGGUGGUGGCGGAAAUGUGCCAACCGCCAAAAAACAGAAGAAGAAGAAAUGGAAACUCGUCUUUUAGUGGUCAACAGUUUAUUAGUUUCGUUUCUGUGGGUGUGUUGUGUUUAUCUGCUUUCUCUAACGGUUUUUAGGUUGCAGACACGUUAGGGGAAGACACAUACACUUGAUGCGGGAUGGUAUUUAUGUAAAACGCAACAACAAGCGUUUUGCAGACACACACAAAUAAAAAUACAGAUGAAUCUGAACGGAUGCUAGUGUUGUUGCGGGUGUAAUAAACAACAGAGAGGGUUAUUUACUGUCACUACACACGUGUAUUAAUGUUUUAUUAUCAUGUAGCAUGAAAUCCUCGACACGUUUGAUGCUCUUUGUUUGACUGAAAAACUGUUUUGUGCGAUUUCAUAAAUCGGCAUCUGAUAGGUAGCGUUUUUGUCUCAUUUCUCUUCUAAAUGAACGCUGGUGUAGCCUAUUUAUCAUUUAUUAAUUUUAAAUGUUUCAGUCCUGUGUUUCUUUAUGUUGCUGAGGAGAGAUGUGCUGCUAUUUAAAGUGACCUUACUUCUGGACGAUGAAUCGGGUGAUGUUACACAGCUGGAACUGGAGCAGAUAUCUUGAGCUGUCAACAUUUCUCUGAUCUUUAAAAUUAUCAUUGGAAACUUCAGUGAUGUUAGCCAAUCAUAACAGCGGCUGAUUACUGAGAAGCCUUAAAGGACCCGCCCCUUAAAAACAGGCUGUUCCUGAGAAAGAUGCAGAAGAUCCCGACUGCAGCUACAGUCAACAGAGAUCCAACAACAGCUGCAGAGAUCAAAACUAUCAGAGAAACUGAAGGAACUGAAGUAGAAUAAAAGAGAGACCGU